rnacentral:rRNA from 1 species
UACGUAGGGUGCGAGCGUUGUCCGGAAUUACUGGGCGUAAAGAGCUCGUAGGUGGUUUGUCGCGUUGUUCGUGAAAACCUGAGGCUUAACCUUGGGCGUGCGGGCGAUACGGGCAGACUGGAGUACUGCAGGGGAGACUGGAAUUCCUGGUGUAGCGGUGGAAUGCGCAGAUAUCAGGAGGAACACCGGUGGCGAAGGCGGGUCUCUGGGCAGUAACUGACGCUGAGGAGCGAAAGCAUGGGGAGCGAACAGG